AUUUUUUCCUGGCUUGAGAGACACGUUGAUCAUGAAAGGGUUUUUCCCAGGUUGAGGCUCAUCCAUUUCUCUCUGGGCGUGUUGACCCCUGCAAUUUCCCCAAAUGUGAGAAACUUGACUGCAUAAUUCGCAGUAGUGGGAGAUUGUGUUUGCACUUUCUCUGG